GAUCCACAACACUGGACCAAUUGGUUGCCUUCCCUAUAUUUUGGCCAAUUUUCAAUCAGCUCAAAGGGACAGCCAUGGUUGCGCAAAGCCUUAUAAUGAUGUGGCUCAAUAUUUCAACUACAAGUUGAAGGAGGCCAUAGUUCAGCUCAGGAUCGAUCUUCCUUUAGCUGCAAUUACACAUGUAGACGUCUACUCUGCCAAGUACUCUUUAUUCAGCGAACCAAACAAACAUGGAUUCGAGCUUCCACUUGUUGCUUGUUGUGGGUAUGGAGGGAAGUACAACUAUAGCAAUAGUGUUGGGUGUGGAGGAACAAUUACAGUUAAUGGAAGCCAAAUAUUUGUGGGUUCAUGUGAACACCCCUCAGUCAAAGUAAAUUGGGAUGGAGUUCACUACACCGAGGCCGCAAAUAAGUUUGUUUUCGACCAAAUUUCAACUGGAGCCUUUUCAGAUCCACCCAUACCCUUGACAAUGGCAUGUCAUCAUGUUUAGUAAAAUGCCCACUCAAAAAUAAAUAAAAUAACACGCCCUUGCAUGUGACAUCAUAUUUGAAAGAUUGAUAUCAAAUAUUAUCAAUAUAAAGUGUUUAAUUAGUUAUUAUAUAUA